GAGUGUAAAUAUUUCUUUUAGAUUUCGGUUUUUGUGUUUCUUUUUACUUAUUUGCAGGAUAAAAAUCAAAAAACCGAGUUACUCAAACCAGAACAGUCUCUGAUUUUUCGAAGCAGUCGAUCCGCGAAGGUAAGUUCCUCGAAAAAAAAUAUAUAUUUUAUUAGAUUUGAAUUAAUUUUGUAAAAUAGAGGGAAAUCCUAGGAAGUGGGGCAUGAAGUUGACCUAUAAAAAGGGAACUUUCCCCAUCUCUUUCCCACUUCCACAAAAAUCGCCUCCCCCAUCGCCUCUCUUCCCUCUCCUUUCAAAACCUAAAACUCUUUCAAUUUCUUCAACUUGUUUUGAGUUUU
rnacentral:lncRNA from 1 species